rnacentral:lncRNA from 1 species
GAUUUUUGCCUAAGUCAUAUUUUCUGGUGUUUGACUUAGCGGACUUUUUUUAUUGAAAGAUUAUGACUGCCUUGUUUUUUAUUAUUGAGGAACAACCACUAUAAAUGUUUGGAUUUUCAUGAAUUCUUCGACACUUCAUGAUGUGUGCAAAGAAGAGCAUGUGGUUGAACCUCUUAUUGGAGGGUGUAUAUAUGGACUGAUUCUUUUGAAGGUUGAAUGCAUAGUCAAA